rnacentral:lncRNA from 10 species
AAAAAAAAAAGAAAAGAAAAAAAGAAAAAUAUUUAUAGUCGCCUUGAAACAUACAUAUUUUUUCUUGUCAUGUAAUUUUUUUUAAUGCUGAGGGUGCUUGCUCACCGAAAGUACAGUGAUAGUUACUUCAUACCCAAGUGUUCUGCUGCGUGAGGUGGGGAGAACAGUGCAGCAAAUGUCUGUGAGUGAAAGAAAUAAGAUAAUACCUGAAGAUGCACAUUUGCUUGUUUUAAUGUAAGAUAACCACAGUGAUCUGUAAAGUAUAUCUGGCACCUGAAUCAAAUUCCUCUUCCCAAACCUCGCUUGGAGUUCUCUUUUCAAUACCAUCGGUGAGAAAAGGUCUCUCCUCACAAGUCACAAAGGCAAAUCUCUACUCAUGUCAAGAGUAGGUGACCUGAAUUCACCUAAACUGGAUGAGAUGUAACUUCUCAAAAGUCACUCUCACGAAGUCUUGAGAGUGUCAUCAAAUUGGUGGCUUAUAAUUAUUUUAAAACCUGUUUAUAAAUGCAUGAACUAUAAUGUUUGUUUUUAUCCCUUGAAAUUUCUAUUUCUGUGUAUUUGGAGUUUCCAGUCUUUCUACCAAAUACACAAUGCUCCACCUGAGGACUUUUCUUAAGUACAAACAAUUUGAUUUUUUCCCUGGCGAUCCAAAAAUAGGGCUACUAUGUCUUUCAGCUCAUAGUCUGGCAACCAUACUUCCCACUGAUCGCCAGCAAAGGACGGACCCUGCAGCCAGCAUGCAAAGGGUUGCAAAGCAAGGCACGCCUCCGGGUGUGUGGCACGUUCUUUUGAACCCAGUGAACCAUCUUGUUGUUCUCAGAUGAUUCUGACACACAGAAAAAUUUGCAAAUUACCAGUUUCAAGCACGGACCCUGGAUCCCACAGGCAGACCUGGUCCCGAUGCAGUCCCAUCACUCAACAUGGCUGAGCAAGAUUACACAACCUCUCUAAGCUCA